rnacentral:rRNA from 1 species
GAUGAACGCUGGCGGCGUGCCUAAUACAUGCAAGUCGAGCGAACGGACGAGAAGCUUGCUUCUCUGAUGUUAGCGGCGGACGGGUGAGUAACACGUGGAUAACCUACCUAUAAGACUGGGAUAACUUCGGGAAACCGUAGCUAACACCGGAUAAUAUUUUGAACCGCAUGGUUCAAAAGUGAAAGACGGUCUUGCUGUCACUUAUGGAUGGUUCUGCGCUGCAUUAGCUAGUUGGUAAGGUAACGGCUUACCAAGGCAACGAUGCAUAGCCGACCUGAGAGGGUGAUCGGCGACACUGGAACUGGGACACGGACCAGACUCCUACGGGAGGCAGCAGUAGGGAAUCUUCCGCAAUGGGCGAAAGCCUGACGGAGCGACGCGGCGUGAGUGAUGGAGGUCUUCGGAUCGUAAAACUCUGUUAUUAGGGAAGAACAUAUGUGUAAGUAACUGUGCACAUCUUGACGGUAACUAGUCAAAAAGCCACGGCUAACUACGUG